UUCAAGAGCCCUGGGUUAAUGGCCUCCGAGUGAGGGGCCUUCAAGACAGCCAAUACGACCUUUUCUAUAAGCCCGUCAGUUCGAACCAAGCACCUCUGAUUUGACCGUUGUCAAAUUGGAGGGUUCAAAUACUGAGGGUUUACUCUUGGCCUCUGCGUACAUGGCACACGACCAGCAGUCACCGCCGGAGGAAGUACGCAGGCUGACAAUACAAGCCAAUACCAUGAAGACAAGCCUACUCAUCGGGUGUGACGCAAAUGCACGUCAUACUCUGUGGGGUAGUUCUGAGAUCAAUGAACGAG